rnacentral:piRNA from 1 species
UGCUCUCGACUUAGUUUUUAG